rnacentral:rRNA from 1 species
AACGAACGCUGGCGGCAUGCCUAACACAUGCAAGUCGAACGAGACCUUCGGGUCUAGUGGCGCACGGGUGCGUAACGCGUGGGAACCUGCCCUUAGGUUCGGAAUAACUCCCCGAAAGGGGUGCUAAUACCGGAUAAUGUCUUCGGACCAAAGAUUUAUCGCCUUUGGAUGGGCCCGCGUUGGAUUAGCUAGUUGGUAGGGUAAAAGCCUACCAAGGCGACGAUCCAUAGCUGGUCUGAGAGGAUGAUCAGCCACACUGGGACUGAGACACGGCCCAGACUUCUUCGGGAGGCAGGCGGUGGGAAUAUUGGACAAUGGGCGAAAGCCUGAUCCAGCAAUGCCGCGUGAGUGAUGAAGGCCUUAGGGUUGUAAAGCUCUUUUACCCGGGAUGAUAAUGACAGUACCGGGAGAAUAAGCUCCGGCUAACUCCGUG